rnacentral:RNase_P_RNA from 1 species
GCGAGUUGGUGUGUGGCUUUCGUUCCCGUUCAGGGAAUGAGGAAACUCCGCCCACGUGUAGAAUUGCAGUCCCCUCGGGGAUAAGGUGAGAGCCUUGGCUACGGAGCAGAAACGACACGUUCACUCUGGACUUGGCGAUGAGGCAUGUGUAAUGUCGAGUGUGCCUGGGUGGAACGGUGAAACGGCCGUCCUGCAAGUGGAAAGGGCAAACAGACGCUGAUGAAGAAUCUACCUGAGAGCGCGGGUAGCCCGAUUAGCCGAAUGCCACAAAAAACAAAAGGCGGGUUAC